UAUCACUGUCGUAGUCACAGUUUGUUUUAAUGUCAUUUUUCUGUCUGUACGAGAAGCACCGAAACGAGCCUUACAAAUUCUGAAAAAACUGGUAUCCCUAAUUAUAGCCGGAAAAUGAAUCCAUCAAGAAACUUAACCGACUUGCCGCUGGAAGUUCUUGGUUUAAUAUUUAAGGAGCUGCCAACUCUGAAUGAGCAAAUUUCUCUGGCUCAGGUUCAUCCCCAUAUCGGAUUGGCUUUCGCUUUUCACAAUAGCCAAAAGCUUCAGAAACUCAAAAUUGCUUACUUGAACGUCAAGGAGUUGUCGGUAGUCCUGCAACUUUGCGGAUCAAGCGUGAAUCAUAUUGAUGGGUCCAAUGUGUUGGGUGACAAACUGAAAUUGGUGGAACAGCAUUGCCCCAACCUGCAAUCCAUAGAGCUUGUUGUUUCGGAGGAGAAUCUCAACGCCAUAAAAUCGUUGCUGACUAAAGUAAGAAGCCUGAUAUCAAUUACCUUGGGCAUCGACCCAGAUCUUUAUAAUCGUUUGGGGAUUGUGGAACUACUGAAGCUGCAGCCGAGUUUAGAGAGACUGCAUUUAAUUCAUUUUUGCGGCGAACAAUUAUUUGAAGUGCGAAAUUUGGGUAACUUGGAGGAGCUGAUAAUGAAAGCCUCAACAUACAUAAGCUGUGCUAUCGCCUUAAAUAAAUUCAAACGCUACAGGUUCAAUGCCAGAACUUUACGUUGGGAAAGAAGUACCUUGUCCGGCCUUAACAGAACUCAAACUAUGUAAACCGGAGGCUUGGUUGCAUUUUGACUGGCAAGCUUGGAGUAUCAGUACCCCUGACAUGUUAAGAUGGAUUCUGAGCCAUGCCGAGACCCUGGAGGUAUUGCAUUUAAGCUUAAGGAUACCAUUUUAUGAACCAGAUACAUACAUUUGCAAAACAUUAUCCGAAUGAAAAAGCUUACUCCAUUUUUACAUGCCAAUACGCACAGUGAAUUCUGACUUUGCCCAUCGCUUAAUUGAGAUUGUUUCGAAAAAAGGGAAGCCGCUGGAACUAGAUUUUGAUAAUAAAAUGGUUCAUGACCAAAUUCGAAAAUUGAUGGACAAAACUGCAGCUAAGCAUUUAAUUACUCUUGGGGAUCAUUAUUAUUUUUGAUAAAAUAUAUACCUACUUGUUAAAUACUAAAGGAACUUAAUAAACAUUUCAAUAUCUUAGA